GUCUUCGUGGUGGAAUUGGAAAACACGUCCAGUUAGCAAUUGGAUGAUCCAGAGUUCGAAUCCCGGUAAGGGCA
rnacentral:tRNA from 1 species